GGGUGCUAUACAUGCAGUCGAGCGGACAGAUGGGAGCUUGCUCCCUGAUGUUAGCGGCGGACGGGUGAGUAACACGUGGGUAACCUGCCUGUAAGACUGGGAUAACUCCGGGAAACCGGGGCUAAUACCGGAUGGUUGUUUGAACCGCAUGGUUCAAACAUAAAAGGUGGCUUCGGCUACCACUUACAGAUGGACCCGCGGCGCAUUAGCUAGUUGGUGAGGUAAUGGCUCACCAAGGCAACGAUGCGUAGCCGACCUGAGAGGGUGAUCGGCCACACUGGGACUGAGACACGGCCCAGACUCCUACGGGAGGCAGCAGUAGGGAAUCUUCCGCAAUGGACGAAAGUCUGACGGAGCAACGCCGCGUGAGUGAUGAAGGUUUUCGGAUCGUAAAGCUCUGUUGUUAGGGAAGAACAAGUACCGUUCGAAUAGGGCGGUACCUUGACGGUACCUAACCAGAAAGCCACGGCUAACUACGUGCCAGCAGCCGCGGUAAUACGUAGGUGGCAAGCGUUGUCCGGAAUUAUUGGGCGUAAAGGGCUCGCAGGCGGUUUCUUAAGUCUGAUGUGAAAGCCCCCGGCUCAACCGGGAGGGUCAUUGNAAACUGGGGAACUUGAGUGCAAAAGAGGAGAGUGAAAUUCCACGUGUAGCGGUGAAAUGCGUAGAGAUGUGGAGGAACACCGGGUGCCGAAGGCGACUCUCUGGUCUGUAACUGACGCUGAGGAGCGAAAGCGUGGCGGAGCAAACAGGAUUAGCAUACCCGUGUAGUCCACGCCGUAAACGAUGUAGUGCUAAGUGC
rnacentral:rRNA from 1 species